rnacentral:lncRNA from 1 species
CAUUGUCAAAAUAGUCAAAGAGAAUUAAUGUUAAGGGAUAUAAUGUCUAUCUUGAACCAACCGACAACUCUUAUUUCUGGGCACUAUAUUCGAACUAGAAGGAAUAUUGUCCAUGGUAAAUGAUGGAUUGAUUAUAAUAUGUUAGGGAACUAUCUUGACUUUUUGAAAAAAUGCCCAACUGGUUGAUUUAAUAACUGGCCGAAAUUAGUGGAGGGAAUCAUUAUGAUCAUGAAAUUCAUAUAGGUGAUGGGCUGGGUGGUUUGGAUUGAAUUUAAUGUUUUGGGCCGGUUGGUAUAGCUGGGUUAAACAAAAUAGGCGGGUUAUAAGUCAGCAGGUUUACAUGUUAAUUGAUAUUUUUGGGCCGAAUUUAUUCUAAGUAAUAUUGGAUUUGUUUAAAAUAUAUGUUGGUUUGACCGAAUGAUAAGUGUGGGCUGAUAAUUUUGGUUUGGGCCAAACAUUUGUUGGGCCGUAUCUCUCAGAUAGUGAGUUUGGGCCGUAAGAAUACGUGUAUUAAUAGUGUGUGUAUGAUUAUACGGUGUGUUUAACUGAUGAGCGAUAGAUAAACCAAGGAUACCAUGUACAUGUUUUAUCAUGACUUCUGGUGUGACAAUGUGAUCCACAUGGAUGCGAACUGACUGUUAUAUACAUAUAUGUGAACCUUUUAGGCUUUGAAUAACUGAGUGUGGUUGAGUAACUAAUCUUACCGAGCAAACCUAAGGUGAGUUCACUGCUCUUUUUCCAAGCAUGCAUCCCGGGGAGGGAUAUCGGGUAACGUUCCAGGGAGGAACGCUAGUUUAUUGGGAUGUUUGUUAUUAUUACUCAGUUUCUAUCACAUAAGACCUCUUACAUCUACCGACAGUUGUCGAGGAGGCAACGAGGUUAUUAGUUGAUAGCGCUAUUAGGUUUGGCACCCUCACACCGUACCGGGGAGGACGGGCGUGAACUAAUUUCCUUAAAGCAUGACCAAUGUUUUGAUAGAGACAUUGGGGUUGGGCAAACACAUCUUGUAGCCAUUUCGGUAAUCGAGUUAAUAACAACAUCAAAUCUAAUUGUUAAACUGUUUUAUACAUGUGACUGGUAACAAAACUCGGUAAGAAAACUUUGAACUCACCAGCAUCGUCUGACACACUUGUUUGCAUGCUUGUAGGUCGUUAGCUGUAUUGCAUUGGAACUUGCUGUUUGGAGUAGCAGGAGUGGUCAUGGGUCGACUGGAGAGAUUUAUGCUAUUGAUUUCUUGAUACUAUAUAUUGGUUUUUAAACUGUUUGACUUUGUUUAACUUUGCUUCCGCUGAACAGAUUGGUUUUCACUUAAACUUGUUGAUGGUAUUUUAUUAAUAAUUAAGGAUUUUAUU